GGAAAAGGGGGUCGCUCCAGGCCUGGGGGGCUGCUGGCUCGACCUCGCGGCCCGCCAAGUCCUAACAGGCUUUGAACUGAAAAGCCCCUUUGCAAGGCUAACGUCUCCAUGAAAAAAAAACAUCAUCACCAAGCAAGCAGGGACACAGAGAAAACAGGCAGAAGAAAAGGCUGAAACCCGGGCCACCUUCAUGGCGCAUUCUCACAGCUGGCUGAACCUGGGGCUCAUUCUGGCAACCGAUUUUGAACCGGCCCUGCCAGAAGAUUAGCUUGGAGAAACCUGUGACAACAGACAAUCUGGAUUAGAAGCACCUUCAGACUUUUUCUGGCAACACCUCCCACAUUUAGCCCUAAUCAUCCCAGUGAUCCGCCUCCCUCUUUUCAGACUUAUUUAGUCAUCUGAAUUAAUUAAAAACUAAUUAGAGCCAUUGCUCUGUUUGGAAACAUUCCAGGGCAAGUUGGUGCUGAAGAAACAGAGGCCAAGCAAUCUAUUCCACUUCCUGCACCGUAAAACAGGUUUUUCCCAGAGAAUGCAUUGUCAAAACCUUGACAGUCAUUCACAGAAAAUCCCCAGGAAUUCCCUAAAGGAACAGUCUGCAGAAUUCUAGGAGCAGGGCAGGAAGACUGCCUAUGCAGACGUCAUGGUUGCUCCAAGCUGUUUUGCUUCCUCGUGGCAGCCACGUGGAAUCCCUGGAGCACAGUUCUCUGCCCCAAGGGGUUUGCAAUAUGGAAGGGAAGUGCCAAGCAGGUCUCAGCUCUGCAGGACGCCUCUGCCUGCUCUUUUACGAAACACCCCCGUUUGCAGCCGUUUUCCCUUGUUGCAUGUAGGAAUUUGCGCCAUGCCUCAUCCGGGACACAGAAAGGAAUUCAGGGCAGAAAUGCUACUGGGCGACCUCAGCAGCCAAUCAGGGUUUUCCUCCAGGUGAGCCACAGAUUCAUGGAUUUCCUGCAUUAAUCAGAGGAACGCUGUUUCCAGUGAAGGAUGGUGGGAUCUUCCUGCAGACCUGGGCUGUUGUUCUGGCCCUGUUCAUAAUCCUAGGAAGACUGCCACUGGACAGGAGGCUUGGCUGAGAGAGCUGCUGAACUGUCCCCAUGGACAUGAAUUAAAAACAUUAAAAAUGUCCCCAUGGUCUCAUUAAAAACAUUUAAAAA